GUCGUCUACAAAUGAUGUGCAAGAGUCAACACAAGACAUUCCUCUAUUUUCACCUCCACCUCCACCUCCACAGCCAUCCAAUGUAAGUAAUAGUUCGGUUGGUGGGUCACAACGUGGUAGACAGCAGUCAAUGGUUUGGGAUCAUUUUACAAAAAUACCAAAAGGUGAUCCCACUAAACCUAGGGCUGCUUGCAAUUAUUGUGGUGCUUCGUAUGCAUGUGAUACGAAGACCAAUGGUAUGAAAUCCAUGAAGUACCACAUUGAGCACCAAUGUAAAAAAUGUCCAUUUAAGAAGACAGAUAAUUUCCAGACCACCCUAGGUUGGAAGGUGGAGGGAGAAAGUAGUAGUGGGGGACUUGUGCCCAUUUCAUUUUCUGUUGAGGCUUGCCGACAAGCCUUAGCGGAGAUGAUUAUUCUUGAUGAGUUGCCCUUUAGGCAUGCUGAAAGGGAGGGUUUUAGAAAGUUCAUGCUUGUAGUUUUCCCUAAGUGGGUAGGGAUUCCAUCCCGUAUGACGGUUGCCAAGGACUGCUUUAGUUUGUUUUUGAGGAAAAAACAAAAGUUGAAAAAUGCUCUUAGAGGGCAGCGAAUUUCCUUGACCACGGAUACAUGGACAUCCGUUCAAAACCUAAACUAUAUGUGUUUGAUAACACAUUUUAUUGAUGAUAACUGGAAAUUACACAAGAGGAUUUUAUCAUUUUAUUUGGUUGAAAAUCACAAGGGUGAUACACUUGGUAGGGGUAUAGAGAUGUGUUUGCAUGAUUGGGGGCGACCAAAGAUACUUGCAAUCACUCUUGAUAAUGCAAGUUCUAAUAAUGAGCCUGUUUCUUUUUUGAAAAAAAAAACCAAGUAUAGGAGAGACACAAUUUUGGAACAUGAUUUCUUACAUGUGCGAUGUUCAGCCCAUAUUUUGAAUUUAAUUGUUCGGGAAGGGUUGAAAGAAUAUGAUUAGUCUAUUGUGAAGGUGAGGGGUGUUGUGAAAUAUGUUAAAUCCUCCCCUCAAAGAUGGGCAAUAUUUAAGAGAUGUGUGGGUUUAGAAGAUAUUUAAUCCAAAUCCCAAGUUUGCUUAGAUGUACCAACUAGGUGGAACUCCACCUAUCUUAUGUUGGAGAGGGCUGCAAAAUUUAGAAAGGCUUUUGAGAGAUUGGAGGAAGAAGAUCCGUGUUUCCUUGGUAGUAUUCAAGGUGAUGACGAAGACGAUGUUGAUGAUGAAGAUGUCGUGAAUAAAAGAAAGUCUAGGAAGUUAGGGACUCCCAAUGCAUCCGAUUGGGAGAAGGUUUCUGUAUUUGUGAGGUUUCUUCAAUUAUUUCAUGAUGCAACGUUACGUUUCUCGGGGGGUGAAUACGUAACUUGCAAUAUUUUUUUCUCGGAGUUGGUUGGUAUAAAAGAUGCUAUUAACAUGGAGUGUGAAGAACGAAGCCCUGUGGUGGGAUUAAUGGCCACAAAUAUGUUGAAAAAGUUUGAAAAGUAUUGGGACAAUUUGGAAAAUCAGAAUAUGCUGCUGUAUGUUGGGGUUCUUCUUGAUCCUAGAUUCAAGAUGCGAUACCUUGAUUUUGGUUUGGGACAAAUGUAUGCACAUGAUCCUACAAAAAAAAUUGAUUUCAGUUGGAGGGUGAGAAAUGCAUUUACUCGCAUUUAUGAGGCAUACAUGGAAAAUGAAGAAGGUAGUUCUCCUCAGUGCACAAGUUCCUCACAUGAAGAUGUAGGUCCUUCAGUUGACAAGAAUGAGAGUAGAAAGGCACAAUUGAUGGCACAAUUUAAGCAACAGUUAUAAUCAGAAGACAGUUUGGAAAGUAAGUCAGAGGUUGAUAGAUAUCUAGCUGAAAGAUGUGAGGAUCAAGAUGAUAAUUUUGACAUUCUAAAUUGGUGGAAGGUGAAUUCAGUUAGAUAUCGUGUACUUUCAAAAGUUGCACGCGAUGUACUUGCAAUACCAGUAUCUACUGUGGCCUCUGAAUCUACUUUUAGCACUGCUGGUCGUGUGCUUGACCCUUUCCAAAGUAAUUUAAAUCCGAUGAGUGUUGAGGGUCUCAUAUGUGCACAAAAUUGGCUUCGUUCUUGUUCUACUCCAAUAAGCCUUAGGACUUUAAUGGAUGAAGUAGAGGAAUUUGAAAAGCAAUUGGAUAUGGGGGAGUUUGCUGAUUCUGUGGAGGCAUCAAAUUCAAUGCCUACCGGCCCAAGUUUCAAUGCUAAUUAAAGACUAAACAGAUGAGAAGAUUGUUUCUGUUUCUAUCUUUUUUUACUCAGAUUUAAUAGUGCAUGAGCAUGUGCAAACUGCAGCAAGAUGAUUGAAGUAGCAGCUUUGUGGUAGUAGCAGGGAAUUAGCAGCAACAUGGGAAGCCUGGAGGCAGUAACUUUGUGGUUAUGGUUUAUUAUGUGUUUUGUAACUUUUGUUAUUUGUAGCAAUAGGCUGUAGUAAGGAAGGAACUUCAUUUGGUUGCUAGUCUAGAUGUGUUCAUAUAUAUAUAUAUUUGUGUUUUGUAUUGAUGUAAAUCAGUAAAUAUGAGAGGGUAAGAGCCUAAGAAAGUGACACCUGUGUAUUAUUAUGUAAUUGUUACUUGUAUUUUUUUUUUAUCUUUUUCUGUUCAGACUUUUUAUCAUAGGAUCACUUGUUUGGAAUGGAUGGAAUUAGGGAAACUGGGACUUCUCCUAUUCUCUAGUGCUGCAACUGCACUAACAUGGAGUGUUAGUGUUUUUCUUUUUUUUUUUCCUUUUGGGCAUGGCCAUUUUCUGCUAGUGUAACUGUGUAACAGUGUUGAUAAUUGGAAUAUUUAAUGUUUUCUGGAGUGAUGCACUAAAAUAAUUA